GACGAACGCUGGCGGCGUGCUUAACACAUGCAAGUCGAGCGGAGAGGCCCUUCGGGGUACUCGAGCGGCGAACGGGUGAGUAACACGUGAGUAACCUGCCCCAGACUUUGGGAUAACCCUCGGAAACGGGGGCUAAUACCGGAUACGACACAGCUUCGCAUGGGGUCUGUGUGGAAAGUUUUUCGGUUUGGGAUGGGCUCGCGGCCUAUCAGCUUGUUGGUGGGGUGAUGGCCUACCAAGGCGACGACGGGUAGCCGGCCUGAGAGGGCGACCGGCCACACUGGGACUGAGAAACGGCCCAGACUCCUACGGGAGGCAGCAGUGGGGAAUAUUGCACAAUGGGCGGAAGCCUGAUGCAGCGACGCCGCGUGGGGGAUGACGGCCUUCGGGUUGUAAACCUCUUUCAGCAGGGACGAAGCGUAAGUGACGGUACCUGCAGAAGAAGCGCCGGCCAACUACGUG
rnacentral:rRNA from 1 species